AAGGGGCUACGCCGAGGGUGGAGGCGGACCGCGCCGCUGCUGCGUCUCCUGGCGGUGGGGCUGAAGAUUUCGUCGACGACGGAGGAGGCGCGAUGGAGUGAUCAGAGAGGGAGGCAGGGGCUUGGGCGCGGCAGAGGUUGGCUGUCGUCACCGGGAAUCGAGCGGAAAAAAUUGGCGAGAGAGGGGAGAGCGAAGCCGGCGGUGGUGGCCGGCAGAUCGACGGGCGGUGGUGGCGGUGGAGGCGGCAGAUCGACGGGCGGUGGUGGCCGAGAAUUUUAGAAG
rnacentral:lncRNA from 1 species